rnacentral:rRNA from 1 species
CUCAGAUUGAACGCUGGCGGCGUGCUUAACACAUGCAAGUCGCGCGUGAAAGGACUUCGGUCCGAGUAAAGCGGCGCACGGGUGAGUAACGCGUGGAUGAUCUACCCAUGAGUUAGGAAUAACGGCUGGAAACGGUCGCUAAUACCAAAUACGCUCCGAUUUCAACUUCGGGGGAAAGGUGGCCUCUGCUUGCAAGCUACUGCUCAUGGAUGAGUCCGCGUCCCAUUAGCUAGUUGGUGGGGUAACGGCCCACCAAGGCGACGAUGGGUAGCCGGUCUGAGAGGAUGACCGGCCACACUGGGACUGGAACACGGCCCAGACUCCUACGGGAGGCAGCAGUGGGGAAUAUUGCGCAAUGGGCGAAAGCCUGACGCAGCGACGCCGCGUGAGGGAUGAAGGUCCUCGGAUCGUAAACCUCUGUCAGGAGGGAAGAACCGCCACGGUGCUAAUCAGCCGUGGUCUGACGGUACCUCCAAAGGAAGCACCGGCUAACUCCGUGCCAGCAGCGGC